CUGCUGCUGCAUAGGAAGCCUUCCUUGGUGACACAGGCCAGGCACAGGGCAGAUCCCACAGCCCUACGGUCUGUCUGAUGUUGGGGGUGGGCAGAGCUAACCUGCACACAGGAGAUCUCCUCUUGAUGGUGACCCUCUGCUGAGCCUGGGGAAUGCUGCAGCUGGGUGCUGCCAGUGACAAGCCAUGGAACAAGGCCAGCAGCACCAUGGAGGUAAUCGGAGAGAAAGCCCAGCGUGGCAGGGGAGCUGGCUAGCUCGGGGCCUCUCUUCUGCCACAGCCACUAGCAGAUGUGAGCCUUGUGAAAAGCCGGUAGAGGACAGGGUGUGGAUUACAUGGUUAUUUGCCUGUGAUCCUCUGAGUUCUGGCUCACAGUCCUUCUGGAGUAGUGGUUGUGUCUGACCAUUGCCCAGAACUAGCUGGUGGGGCUGUGCUCUAGGGGUGUCUCUGAAGCCUCUUGGAACCCAUGAGUACAUCUGGGCUCCACAGCAUUCUGAGCAAAGGGCCACAUGCUGCCCAUCCUCUUUCAGCCUGAUAGUGAAUAAUUUCACUGGCACCUUGUGAUUCCUGCAUUGUGAAAACAGGGGCCGGUGCACAUACAGCGUGCUCCGGUGAUCCCUCCUGCUAGGGGCAGGCCCGCCUUCCUGGCUGCAUUUGUAGGUGCGUUGUCUGCCUGAGUGCUGCUGGACCCUCCGAGGCAGGCAAAGGGCUCAGCCCACUCUCAGUGAUGCAGAGGCCACAGGCGAACACAUCCUCCCUUCCCAGGACCGCACUCCCGUGCUUCCUUCAGCAAUGGGGCUGCCGCCUGUGGCUCAGUCCUCCAAGUGGUUAAGCCUUCCCUAUUUGCUCAGAGAGCUGCUAUGCUCAGAAUCAGAUUCAGCCUUUAGAAUUAACCCCGUCUGUAAGGUCCGCUGCCUGGAUUCCCCUGACCAGCCAUGCAAAGUAAGAUCUCAUCUUACUGCCAUAUUCGUCUUGCACUGUCAGUUUUACCCAACUCCUAAACACUCAGUAAUGGCAAGACUGUCAGGGUAUUAUUUAUUCGUUAAUUUUCACUCACUUGAAGAAUAUAUCGUUGUCAUAAUAUGGCACAUUGGACUGGGAACAAACUCCCUAUGCAGACAGGGAUUAGGGCCAUUUUUCAAAUGCUGCUGACUGUUGAUUUGUACAUUGUUUGAAGGAAAAAGGCCUUGUUAGAACUCCAUUUUGAACAUUACUUUGACAGAAAACAGUGGGCAGUUUUUGCAUCCUCUCUGAUACCUAGGGGACAAAAGGGUGCCGGUGGCAGGGAUGCGGAGCACUAACCCCUGUGGCAGUAUGUGCCCAGCACUGCAUACAUAGAGUUCUUAUCUGUGCACCCAAAGCUAAUCACGUGAACCUCAUCAAAAUCCACUUGUUCAUCAGCUGAUACUACAAUAGCUGCUGGCUGCUCAGCCUCUGUCCCUCAUCACUGUUCUCCAGAACUGUCUGCCAAAACUUGAUCAGUGAGGAGUUUAGGUAUUUUUGUUUAGCUGCAGUACGAUCCUGGCUGGGUAAGAAAAGCAGCAGGCUAGUGCCACCAUGAGCUGAGCACUGGCAGUAGCCAGUCCCGGGGCAGCUGGUCUGCUCAGGGGAGGGAUGGGGAAUACCAGGGAUAAGUCUGUUAAAAAUGGGAAGAAAAAGUUGAUCUUAUAUGGAAAAGGUGAAGAUAGGCACAAGUCUGCAGGCUGAUGUGAAGGGAACAUGUCUGUGGUGAGACGAGGAGGCUGUUUUAUGCCAGCUACAAGGUUCCUGUUGUGUCCUCACCACUGAGGAGUGCUGGGACAAGGACCUUUGCAGUAAUAUCCUUGCUGAGAUGCUGUGCAUCUCCAUUCACGUGUGCCAGGGGCGAAGUGGGAGCUGUGCUGUGCCUUUGCAGAGCUGGCUUCUUGUGGAGCUUGGGGAGAGCAGGUCAGGCAACACCCUCAGGUCUGUCACCUCAGGUCUCCUCAGAGGACUGUAGGGUUCAAGGGCAGCUUGAUGAUGGAAAGGAGAAUUGGUUGAUGUUUAAAACUGCUCCAUUAAUUGAGCAACUAAAGCAGAUUUUUAUAUUAAAGAUGGAUAAUAUGGGGAGAGAGGAGGGAGUAGGGCUGUAUGUCUGAGCCAGGGCACUUGCUAUUCUCAGGUCUUCUGAGUUACUUUUCAUCACCUGAACAGCUGCCGGUGGAGAGGUCUGGGAAGGAGGGAUGGUAGAUAGGGUAGACCUCACAGUUCAGCCACUACCUCCCAAAGCUGAGUUUCCUGUUUGCUUCUAGGCCAAAGCAGUGAGUGGAACGGCUGCUGCUGAUGGGGUGUUCUGAGCUGUGACAUGUCUCUGGACUUCCUGCAUGAAAGGCAGAAAAAUAAAAAGGAAAAUUAAUCUCUUGGGAGCAAACAAAUCCAGCUAGCAACCUCUGCUACAGUUUGUAGCCUGCAUAAACACAGGUCUGAACUAGAACAUUUGUUGCAACCGUUCAGUGAUCCCUGCUCUUCCCAGAUUCAUCUUAUGAACUGGAAAGAACUAUUUGUCUGCCCGUGUGCCCUGAAGUACUACUAUUUGUUAAAACCACAUGCUGCAAAGGCCCUAGACUUGAACUACUGGAUAUGUAUAGAGAAAAGCAAAUAAAGCCAGCUGUGAUAUGUCCAUUUCACCUAGAUAAUAUUCUGAUCAGGCCUGAUUUAUUACCUUUAUGUCUUAAGGCCAGGCAAGCCUCGUGGUGCCCCACCAGUCAUAAAGUACAAUGAGGCAGGAGAAAGAGGGUUUGAGAAAGGAGAGACAGAAAUCCUGUUUGCCUGUGGAGAUCUGCAAGUGCUUCCUUUCCAAGCUUUCCAAUUCACACAGUGCUGACUAGUUUGUCACUUAGCUGGCGCUUCAGCUGUCCCUGCUGUCUUGGUGCCAGGGUCAUGCACGCUGCCUUCCACACGGCUUCUGCAAGCCCUGCUGCCUUGGCUCAGGAGUGCCAGCACCACUGGGGCACGAUGCCCAUGGCUGCCUAGGGUGGCUACAGCACUCACCCUUCUGCUCUGUUCUGCUUUGCAGAACCUGACCUUCAUUCUUUGAAAAAUUAUUACAGUUAAGAAAGCCCAGGCAGAAACCAAGUUACCAGUGAGAAGAACCAUAUGAAUAUCACCUGCGGACUGGGGAUAAAUAAUAAGGCAAGACAAACAAGGCACACAGAGGGUAAUUAAAACCACAAUACCUAGGGAUAUCUCUAAAUUAAAAAAAUAAUCUUCACACUGAAAUUGCAAACUGAUGCAUCUCAGUGUAUUAAUUCUUCCCAAAUUAGCAGUGCCUAAAGAACAGCUGUCAUUAUCUGCUAGCUUCAGGGAGUGUGAUGGGGUGAGCAGAGCAGCAGAACUUUGGUCUCCCCAUUGAGCGUGGCUCGGUGCUUGGGACCAGGGGAGGGGAGGAGGCACGGUGUCUCUGCGUCGGGCUGCCCGCUGCCCUGCAGCUCCCUGCACAGCAUCCCAGGUGCCAGCAUGGCCUGAGCUCCCCGCAGGUGUGGAGGGAGAGGCGGGCACAGGGUUUCCCCAGCAAAGCGCCUGCUCUUUCAGCCAGCUGCCGCUGCUGUGGCUGCCAUUUCAUCAUCUUCUUUCGUGUUUUGAAGCAGGAGAAGAAACUGCAGCUGAUGAGGAUCAAAACCUUUGUGAUGUCCAGUGCCUUUUGUGGGGAACUUGGAGCAAAAUCACAAAAAUCUUCCAGGAGAUUGAAUUCUCUGUUUGAGAUGAAUAAUAGGUCGAAUAUAGUAUGUGACGGCUCUGUAGAUUCUGAAGAUAUAAUAUGAACAAAUACAUUGCUCUGGAAAGCUGGCAUAAGAACACCAGUGAGGAUUUAGGAGAAUCUCAACUACCAGACAGGUUUCCAGCUGUUGCAUUUAAAUCGGAUGGAGAUGACCUGGGGAGGAGAAGAAGAAUCUCUGCUGGGGUGAAACUGUUUUGGCUGUCCACUGCCAGUGAAGCACUCGGAGAUGAGCUGGUUUCAGUGACACCACUGGCACCUCUCCAGCCGUGGGGCUCGGGGUCUGCCCUGGUGCUGGACAGCCCUGCUUUUGGGGAGGAAAAUGGGAUGCAAGGUGAUGCAGAAUGGCCUCAGGGGUAAGGACCUGUGGAUGGAUGGAGGUGUUGACAUCUGUGGUUCCAUCCCCCUGUCCAUGCUGCUGGUGAUGUGACUUUCUUCCGAGCAGUUUUAUGGACGGAGCGUUGUGAAAUCUGACAUUUGUAGCCUUAAAUCUCAGUUCUGUUUGCUGUGUAAAACCUUUCAUCCCACAUGCAUUUUUUAUGAAUGGAUUGAAAAAUGCGAGAAAUAAAGCCUGUAGCUCCAACUCCUGUGGCUGUGUGCAGAGCAGGGCCGCUCAGGCAGCACGGACAGCCCUGGGGAGCGGGACAGUGCUCCUGCACCCGAGGCUACUUGGAUCUGCGAGGGCUCUCACGCAGAGAUGCUUCCAGUUGUGCCGGGCUCAGACGUGGGCGUGAUGGUGCUGAAACACUGCAGAGAAACGCAAGACUGGUGCGUCUGCAUGCUGCUGUUGGCAGGUGGCACAAGACCAUGGGCACAGUGGUGGGGAGCAAGAUGGGGUUCUCGAUGUGCUGGGGAGCCCGGGACCGGUCAGCCAGAGACAGCCUGGGGACGGCACGUCUGAGCCCUGUGUUGGGGAUGCUGUAAAGGAGGCAGCUGCUGGAGCCCUUCACAGCAAUCCCUCUCGGCUCUGUUGUUUUAGGGCAAUGGUUGCCCCUUUGGAUUGUCAAAACCCUGGUUUACUUCCUUUUCCAACAAAAUAAACCUGAAUAUUCAUUGUUGAGAAAUGAUAAACAAAUCUGUCCUCACACCCAGGAGCUUUGCCAGCUGGGCUUGGCUAGAUAGGAGUCUGUUUGUGAAAGCUUUCAAGGAUUUUUAAAAAUAAUGUGUUUUGAAUCAUUAAACCAAUGAGGUGAUCUGGUCUUCUGAAAUAAACAGUAAUCACGUUGAAGUGAAGUCUGAACUUCUGUCUUGGCAAAACAAUUUCUGACACUUCUCUCUCUUUCUUAUUUUUACAUUUGUGUUUGUAUUUAUGUUUAUGUUUAUUUUUGUUCUUGGACACUGUUUCUUACACCACAUCUUUCCUGCUAUAGCAGGAGAUCACACACUUAUCCAAGUACUUAGGGCAUUCGGCUGAAGGAGUCCCCUCCCUGCACUCCUUCCCCUCGUAGCCAGAAGCAUGCCUCCGAGUCCAGAUGGCCCCAUUCCACCACUCUCUAGCCAUUAGUUUGUAUUCAGUAUUCAUAAUUGCUUCGCUAACUGAGAAACUUUACAAUCUGUUGCAGACCAUUAUAUGCAAAACCAUGCCCAAAUAAUUGAUCCCCUGCCAUCCAAAUUGCAGAAGUGCUCGAGCAUUUUGUAAUCUUACAGAAAAGGUUUGUAUUCUGUGUAUUCCAAAUGUAUAUUAAAGUAAAAUUG